UUUUGACCGUGCAAAGGUAGCGCAAUCACUUGUCUUUUAAAUAGAGACCUGUAUGAAUGGCUAAACGAGGGCUUAACUGUCUCCCCUUUCAAGUCAGUGAAAUUGAUCUACCCGUGCAGAGGCGGGUAUAAUACUACAAGACGAGAAGACCCUUUGGAGCUUAAGGUACAAAACUCAACCACGUUAAGCAACUCAAUAAAAAGCAAAAACCUUGUGGACCAUGAGAUUUUACCUUCGGUUGGGGCGACCACGGAGGAAAGAAAAGCCUCCAGGUGGACUGGGAAAACCUCCUAAAACCAAGAGAGACAUCUCUAAGCCACAGAACAUCUGACCAAAUAUGAUCCGGCUAACACAUAGCCGAUCAACGAACCAAGUUACCCUAGGGAUAACAGCGCAAUCCUCUCCCAGAGUCCAUAUCGACGAGGGGG
rnacentral:rRNA from 1 species